GUGGAGGUAUGUGACUGUAGGUGGAGGUAAAGAGGUAUGUGACUGUAGGUGGAGGUAUGUGACUGUAGGUGGAGGUAUGUGACUGUAGGUGGAGGUAAGGAGGUAUGGGUCUGUAGGUGGAGGUAAAGAGGUCUGGGACUGUAGAUGGAGGUAAAGAGGUAUGUGACUGUAGGUUGAGGUAUGGGACUGUAGAUGGAGGUGUAGAGGUAUGGGACUGUAGGUGGAGGUAAAGAGGUAUGUUACUGUAGGUGGAGGUAUAGAGGUAUGUGACUGUAGGUUGAGAUAUGGGACUGUAGGUGGAGGUAUGUGACUGUAGGUGGAGGUAUAGAGGUAUGUGACUGUAGGUGGAGGUAAAGAGGUAUGUGACUGUAGGUGGAGGUAUGGGACUGUAGGUGGAGGUAAAGAGGUAUGUGACUGUAGGUGGAGGUAUAGAGGUAUGUGACUGUAGGUGGAGGUAAAGAGGUAUGUGACUGUAGGUGGAGGUAAAGAGGUAUGGGACUGUAGGUGGAGGUAUAGAGGUAUGGGACUGUAGGUGGAGGUAAAGAGGUAUGGGACUGUAGGUGGAGGUAAAGAGGUAUGUGACUGUAGGUGGA
ensembl:lncRNA